rnacentral:rRNA from 1 species
GUGACCGAGCGACGCCGCGUGUGGGAUGAAGGCCUUCGGGUUGUAAACCGCUGUCACAGGUUAAGGACUGGCUUGGUUUUAAUACAUCCAAGCCUUGACAAAGGCCUGAGAGGAAGCCACGGCUAACUUCGUGCCAGCAGCCGCGGUAAGACGAAGGUGGCAACCGUUGUUCGGAAUCACUGGGCAUAAAGCGCACGUAGGCGGGAAAGCAAGUCGGGUGUGAAAUCCCUCGGCCCAACCGAGGAACUGCGCCCGAAACUGCUUUUCUUGAGGGCAGGAGGGGAGCGUGGAAUUCCUGGUGAGCGGUGAAAUGCGUUGAUAUCAGGAGGAACACCGGCGGCGAAGGCGACGCUCUGGCCUGCUUCUGACGCUAAGGUGCGAAAGCCAGGGGAGCAAACGGGAUUAGAUACCCCGGUAGUCCUGGCCGUAAACGAU